rnacentral:rRNA from 1 species
UACGGAGGGGGCAAGCGUUAUCCGGAAUUAUUGGGCGUAAAGGGUACGUAGGUGGCCUUUUAAGCGUAGGGUAUAAGGCAAUGGCUCAACCAUUGUUCGCCCUAUGAACUGGAAGGCUUGAGUGCAGGAGAGGAAAGCGGAAUUCCUAGUGUAGCGGUGAAAUGCGUAGAUAUUAGGAGGAACACCAGCGGCGAAGGCGGCUUUCUGGACUGUAACUGACACUGAGGCACGAAAGCGUGGGUAGCAAACAGG